UACGGGGGGGGGCAAGCGUUGUUCGGAAUUACUGGGCGUAAAGGGUUCGUAGGUGGCCAACUAAGUCAGACGUGAAAUCCCUCAGCUUAACUGGGGAACUGCGUCUGAUACUGGUUGGCUUGAGUGCAGGAGAGGAACGCGGAAUUCCAGGUGUAGCGGUGAAAUGUGUAGAUAUCUGGAGGAACACCGGUGGCGAAGGCGGCGUUCUGGACCGACACUGACGCUGAGGCGCGAAAGCUAGGGGAGCAAACGGG
rnacentral:rRNA from 1 species